CGCCGCCGGCGUUGGUCGAGUCGCCGCAGCCCUAAGAAAGAGUCGAGUUUCUAGGGUUAGGGUUUUUCGAGGUUCGAAUCGAUGGCCCCGAGUCGGCGGAGAAUAGCAAACAAGGGAAAAGCGAAGGAGACGUUGAAAUUGGGGGAUCUUGUUCUCGCUAAGAUCAAGGGUUUUCCUGCGUGGCCUGCAAAGAUAAGCAGGCCAGAAGAUUGGGAACGCUCACCUGAUCCUCGGAAAUAUUUUGUUGAAUUCUUUGGGACUGCUGAAAUUGCUUUCGUUGCACCUACUGACAUUCAAAUAUUCACUAGUGAAUCAAAGAGUAAACUGUCAGUACGAUGUAAGGGUAAAACUGUAAAAUAUUUUGCUCAGGCUGUGGAGGAGAUUUGUGAGGCAUUUGAUGAAAUGCAACAGAGAAAUUCUGCUGGUCCUGGAGAAGAUAUUGACACGUCUGCAGGUGGACCUAUUCCUUCUUCAACUGCUGACCUUGAAGAUAGCAAUCAGCAGACAUUUCACAAACCUACUCAUUUAGAAGAUCAGGAGGAGAAACUGGACCAAAAGGAUGCUAAUAAAAGUGAAUGCUCCAGUGAUGAGCCAGAUGGGCUGGAAAGCUGUCCAGGGAAUCAGAAUGGAACUGGCUCUGUCAUUCAGCCAAGACGUUCAGGCUGUGAGCAUCCGAAAGAUCAUUCAGUUGAGAGAAGAAAAAAAAUAACGGAUAAUGGCAUAAGAUUGUGUAAUGAAGGUAAAACAACCGGUGCUCCUUCAACUAAGGAAGAUAGUUCUAGUAGCCCUCAUCCUGAUGGCGAUGAGAAAAACGGUGUGAAAAUAUUUUCUGAAACUGAAACUAAGAGUACUUUUCCAAGCAACUCUGCUAAUUUGCAGAAUCAGGACCGCGGUAACUCUGGAUCACUUACCGGUCUAGAUGAUGUUGGCCGGCAGACUGUAGAAAAUGCAUCAACUUAUUUAGAAUAUGAACUUAAUGUGCAGAAGGCAAUAAGCACUGGUAAUGACACUGAUUUGGCGGUUGAACCAAUAGCAAGUGCUCAGGUUGAGUCAAUAGUACAUAAAAGUCCCAUGUUGCAGAAGAAUACGAGAAAAAUUUCUGCAAAGGAGAAUGCAAAAUUUGGAGAUGGGGAUAGUCGCUUAGGAUCAGCUGGAAACUCUCCAAGACUAGAUAAAGUACCUGACAAAAGAAAGCGAUCCCAUAACUUGAAAAAAUAUAGGAAACAUGCUUCUGAAAAGGAUGAACGGCAGGGGGUUCAGAAAGGGGUUAAAGCAGAUACCUUGAAGAAACAGGUCACUGAAAGGUCGCCUUCUCAUCUUCAGGGGAAGGAGUCCGUGGUCAGCAGCAAAAGACAAAAGUUAGUUCACAUUGAAGAUCCACGAACAGCUAAACGGUCAAAACAUGGAGAUUAUGUUGUUGUUAUGAGCUCAAGAAAUAUUGAUUCGUCGCAUUUUGCAGGCAAAGCUAAAGGAGAUAAAGUUGUGAACAGUAGACAGUCAACAUCCUCUUUGCAAGAUAAGGUGCACAUGACAUCUAAUUUGGGAAUACGGAAUGCUAGGACACACAUAGGGAACACAGAGGCUGUGCGCCCUCCACCUAAACAAAGUAAUCGGAUAUCGGAAUCAGGAUCUAUCUCCACCCCUAAAAGUGCUAGACAUACAGUUGGAAGAGGUCCAGGUUUUGCAAAUGAUGGUAUAUCUCCCACCACCCAUUUACGCUCGAGAAGGAGAGCAUUUCUACUUGACGACGACGAUGAGGAGGUUAAUAGAACUCCGCCAGUUCAUCAACAGGCUGCUAGCAUUUUGAUCUCUGCACAUUCAAAUGGUCAAAUUGCUGAAAGCUGCAGAGAAUCUGCAUCAAUAAUGAACAAUGCUUCAACUGAUAAUUUACAUUGUAAAAGAGAGGAAAUAUCUUCAAUUGAUCAGGCAUCACCUCUUAAAAUAGGUAGUGGUUCAACAUCACAUCCUUUGGAGAAAAGGGAGGUAAAGCCCGAAAAAGAAUUAGGGCGACAAGUAUUUCGUAGUCCUGUGAAGCCAGAAUCUCCCAAGUCCUUGUCUAGUGAGGACAGGGAAGCCAUAGCCAAAACCUGGAUGGUGGAGCCUAAAUCCAUCAAGUUCCCCCCAGCAAAGUCUUCAGGGAGCAUGAAGAAAUUUCAAGACAGCUCUUCCAGAGAAUCAACCCAUGGUUCUGCAAGUUUAAAUCGUGCACAUAAUCAGGAGGCUACAAUAAGAAAUAAGUCAUUUUCUCCUGCAGUAAAAGGGAAUGCCAAUCGUAAACCUAAUGCAGCUAUCAGUAUGGCUGCAGAAAACAGGUCUGACAUGAAUUUUUCAGCUGAGCAAAACAUCGAGAAGGACUCUCUGGUAGCGGAACGAUUUGAUUCUGUAAAAAGAAACCAAGCAGCAAAUAUAUCUGUUGGUUCCAGGUUUUUAGAUUCUGAUAAGUCAUUGAAACACCUUAUUGAAGCUGCUCAAGAGAAGAGGAAAAAGGCGCUGUCCCUGAACCAAGCGCAUGACACUGUUACUCCUUCAGUUGCCACUCCACCUUUGGUUAAUGGAAAGAGUCCAAGUCCUGAUUCUUCUAUCUAUCUUAUCGCAUUAAAAAGUUCUGUUCAAAAUGAUGUGGAAGUGUUGCAUCCUUCUAAGCCAUUUGGUUCUCCAUCUGUACUUGCCCAGCCAAAUCCAUCAAAUCAAACAAAUCACGAGGAAUAUGAAAGCAAGACUAGUCCUGCAUACAGGCAACUCAGGGGUUCUUUAAGUGGUGGAACUGAAGCUUCUAUUGCUCGUGAUGCUUUGGAAGGUAUGUUGGAGACACUCUCAAGAACAAAGGAUAGUAUUGGACGUGCUACCCGGCUUGCCCUUAACUGUGCCAAAUAUGGCAUUGCCACUGAGGUUGUAGAACUCCUCAUACGAAAGCUGGAGUUGGAGACUAGUCUUCAUCGUCGAAUUGACCUGUUUUUCCUUGUGGACUCAAUCACUCAAUGUUCCCAUGGCCAGAAAGGCAUUGCUGGGGCCUCUUAUAUUCCUACUGUACAAGCAGCUUUACCUCGCCUGCUAGGCGCUGCUGCUCCACCUGGACCUGGUGCUCAAGAGAAUCGUCGCCAAUGCCUUAAGGUUCUUCGCUUAUGGCUUGAAAGGAAGAUUCUUCCUCAAUCGGUUCUUCGCCGUUAUAUGGAUGACAUUGUGGUUGCAAAUGAUGACAUGAAUGCUGGACUUUUGCUAAGGCGCCCAUCACGAGCUGAACGUUCUAUUGAUGAUCCCAUAAGAGAUAUGGGAGACAUGCUUGUAGAUGAGUAUGGAAGCAAUACAACUUUUCAGCUACCUGGAUUAUUCCCUCAUGUUUUUGAAGAUGAAGAUGAUCUUUCCAACGAUCUAUGUGUGGAUAAUGGGAAUCAAUCACUGGUCGAAGCUGGCAAUGCUCUGGAAGAGUCGGAUACAUUUAAUGUAACUCUAAGUGACAAAUGCCAUUGUGUGUUAAAGGAUGUGGAUGGUGAACUUGAAAUGGAAGAUGUCCCUGCAACUCCAAAAGACGAGAAAGUAGCACAAGAAAACAAUACCCUUAAGUUGGAUUGUCAGCAUCAACAUCUCAGUCAAGCAUUGGAGAUGAAGUCAAGCAACCAAUAUGUUUUUCCUCCAUUGCCAUCGGAUCCUCCACCGCUAACAAAUUCUCCACCUCCACCACUACCUUUAGAUUCUCCACCACCACCACCUCCGUUGCCUCCUUCUCCCCCUCCCCUUCCACCUCCAUCAUCACCUUUGCCACCUCCACCACCAUCACAACCACCCCUUCCACCAUUCCCACCUCCAGCAGUACUGCCUCUUCCAUCUCUUCUAAAUCCACCUUUACCACCUACAUCCCCACCACCUUCAUUGUACCUUCCUCCUGCUCAUGACUACUGCAGAAGCCAUAGUGACUACCAACGAGGGGAGACCAACCCAAAUGCUGGUUUCCAGGCACAUAGUAAUGCUGCUGUUAACAGUGAUGUGGUUUUUCAGCAGCAGGCCAACUUUGCGAGAACUGGAAACUGCAAUGGACAACCUAUGUCUGGAUGUACCUCCACAAGACCAUUUGAGUAUGGAAACAAUGAUAUAUAUUCAACUCCUCAUGCUUCCAAUGUCAGCCAUCAAUUUCAAAUGGGCAGUGGAUCUUUCCAUCAGAGACCUUACUCUUCCUUGCCCCCUGUGCAGACACCUUCAAGCCAUCUAAUUGCAGCUGCAAAACCACCCGAAAAUCAUUUUUCAUAUGCAAAACCUACGAAUCAGCAGAAUAUGCAGCAGUCAUAUAUUCCAUAUAGCCUAUCAUCCCAUCCUAAUGGCCACAGGCAAUAUGCUUCUGAUGAACCGAGGAGGAUUCAUCCUUCUGAAGUCUGUCCAGAUAAUCAGCAUAAUGCAUGGUUUGCUGGAGGAAGAGGAUCAUCAUGCUCGAGUUCAUCUUUUGUGCAGGAGGGGAUGCUAAGGUCAAAUAUGGAAAGGCCAUCCUCUCGUUCAAUGGCUUUUCAGCAUUCAAUGCAUGCUCCUGCACGAUCUAGAACUUUGGCUCCUGGUCGGGGUUAUCCUCAAGCCGCACCAUGCAGGCCUGAUGAUCCUUCUUUUAAUCGUUGGAGGCCAUCUUAAAGUUAUUUUUGUAAAUAUUGGCUUGGAGCUAUGGUGAAGACAAUAUCCUAUGUCUUCUGUUUCUGAAUAUAUCUUCUUUGGUAUUCAUUAAUAUCUUCCUUGUAGGUAAUAUAUGUUAUACCUCCAAAUUGGUCUACUGAACCUUUCAUGUUCGUUAUCUAAUUUCAGCUUUGUUUUAUGAUGCGGAAGUUGAAGACUUCAGAUUUUAUAUUCACGGGGUCUUAUGCUCCUGUAUGACUUACAACUGUGCAGUUUCCAUUAAAGGCGGUGAUGAUAUCUGGCUAAGUCUUUUGGCAGGAGUUUGUACAUUGUAGUUGAAUAAAGACCUGCCGGGGCUGUCCAAACAUGGUUUAAGGAUGAGUUGUCAUUUUCUUCUCUAUUUAUUUUAUCGUUCCAUCUCCAAUUGUUGCUUUUCAGCAGCUGGACGUGUUGAGGUUGAGUUCGAGAAGAGAAGUAAUUCUGCAUCACACAAUGCAUCAGAGUUGGGAAGCAUGAGAACUCCACUGUUCCCUUGGCUAUUUAGAGACAAUUAAGUCCGCUUUUUUUUUUGGGCAUAGCUGAGCUAUCUUGGACUUUGACUGGAGACAAUCGGCCUAGGGCAAGGCUUUUUCAUUGACAUACUAGAAUUAUUCCGCAAUUAUACAGUGCAGUCAAACUAACUUCUAUAUGAGGUUCUGGAGGUCAGCAAAAAGUAGUCUACCUUAUGUCUGAAGUCUUUAUUAGUGGGCCCUUGUUGAGAUAUACAUUUUAAUUAUCCUAUAGUGGAUAUUGGAGAUCUGGUUACCCAGAGUACACAAUAAAAAGAGAUGUAUUGGACAAUCAUGGGGAGGACACUGGCGUAGUAAUCUAUGAGGAAAUGAGCUUGGCUUUUUAUGUGUGUUUUUCAUUGAGAGGUUAGUGGGUGCACAGUUGUAGUAUAGUCAAGGUUUUUACUUUACUAGUAUAACAUUACUUUGAUUAUGAGCCUUGCUGUCUCAUUUGAGAAUGUUCUUUGACUGAAACUUCUACUCUGAUUUUCACUGAUAAGUUCAGUCCAAGGAUAACAUUUCUUUUAUUGGCUUGAGCAAUCCCUCUGGUUUUGGAGACGACAUCGAGGACCUUGUUGAUGAAUUAAUCUCCAAUUGUUGCAAAUUCGAGGUGCUCGAUGAUUUCCUGACAGAACCAAGCUUGUUGACUCUGCUCGGAUCUCCAAGGGGAGAGGGACUUAUGUGACCUGUGUCCCUUGAGAACAUCAAAGCUUUUCCUGUCCUGGCAGCAAUACUUUCGGCAUUCUCUGGCUCUGAAAUGAUCAGGACCGGAUCAGUAUCAGCUUUUUGGCGCCGCCUUACUGAGUUCAUGUUUCCAGAUAUCUUGGCUUUGUUGUCUCCAGAUAUAUCAAUUGAUCCAUCAUCGGCGAGCCUAGAAGGUUCUGGAAAGUCCUGGACAGCUAGGCUUCUCGCUCUCCGAUGGUGAUUUGGAUGUCGAUCAGAGGCUACUACUGGAUUUACAGGCAAUGCCUUUUGUGGAUGAUAUUUGAGCUUUGACGGAGAGAAGGAACUGAACGGGUCAUCGUAAAGCCUGUUGGUAGAAUAAUUAUAUAUGUUUAGCAUGAUGAACUUCAAUUUUUAACCAUGGCAUAAUAUUCGGAGAUCCUGGUACAUAGCAUUAAUAGUGCACUAAAAAUUUAUCAUACCCCUUGAUGAGGGAGACUUUUAGAUUU